UACGGAGGGAGCUAGCGUUGUUCGGAAUUACUGGGCGUAAAGCGCGCGUAGGCGGCUUUGUAAGUUAGGGGUGAAAUCCCGGGGCUCAACUCCGGAACUGCCUCUAAGACUGCAUCGCUUGAAUCCGGGAGAGGUGAGUGGAAUUCCGAGUGUAGAGGUGAAAUUCGUAGAUAUUCGGAAGAACACCAGUGGCGAAGGCGGCUCACUGGACCGGCAUUGACGCUGAGGUGCGAAAGCGUGGGGAGCAAACAGG
rnacentral:misc_RNA from 1 species